GCUUCAAUGAUGACAAUCGUCCUGUCAUGAAGAGAGAUGAUGACAUAAAUAUCAUGCUCAAUAGGAUUACGCUGAGGCCC
ensembl:snoRNA SNORD115 Small nucleolar RNA SNORD115